AGUGAACGCUGGCGGUAGGCCUAACACAUGCCAGUCGAACGGCAGCACAGUAAGAGCUUGCUCUUACGGGUGGCGAGUGGCAGACGGGUGAGGAAUACAUCGGAAUCUACUUUUUCGUGGGGGAUAACGUAGGGAAACUUACGCUAAUACCGCAUACGACCUACGGGUGAAAGCAGGGGAUCUUCGGACCUUGCGCGAUUGAAUGAGCCGAUGUCGGAUUAGCUAGUUGGCGGGGUAAAGGCCCACCAAGGCGACGAUCCGUAGCUGGUCUGAGAGGAUGAUCAGCCACACUGGAACUGAGACACGGUCCAGACUCCUACGGGAGGCAGCAGUGGGGAAUAUUGGACAAUGGGCGCAAGCCUGAUCCAGCCAUACCGAGUGGGUGAAGAAGGCCUUCGGGUUGUAAAGCCCUUUUGUUGGGAAAGAAAAGCAGCAGGUUAAUACCCCGCUGUUCUGACGGUACCCAAAGAAUAAGCACCGGCUAACUUCGUG
rnacentral:rRNA from 1 species